rnacentral:tRNA from 1 species
GAGAAGAAGGCGAACUGGUACGCAAGCUCACUGUAAAUGGGUCGACCCUAUGGGUCAUGGGGGUUCGAAUCCCUCUCUUCUCA